GAAAUCUCUGACACGUGCGUCGUCGAGUUGUAGGUGCGAGAAGCACUUUCUAGGCGGAUGGGCGACGCCCAAGUUGCUUGGAACAGUACGUCGCAGAGGGUGACAACCCCGUCCGCGGCGUCGCCGGCCGCUCACGAUGUGCUUUCCAAGAGUCGGGUUGUUUGGGAAUGCAGCCCAAAACGGGUGGUAAACUCCAUCUAAAGCUAAAUAUUGACGUGAGACCGAUAGCGAACAAGUACCGUGAGGGAAAGAUGAAAAGAACUUUGAAAAGAGAGUUAAAAAGUACGUGAAACCGUUGGAAGGGAAACGAAUGGACUCAGCAAUGCCCCGUCUUUUGAGAUUCAGCCGGGCGGGCCGGCUCGGUCUCGGACUCUGCGGAUCCGAACGGACCGCGGUUCGGGGCUCGUUUCGGCCCGCCGUCGCACUUCUCUUGGGCGCAAGUCAACGUCGGUUGGGUCUGGGUCUGAAAGGUUCCGGGAAGGUGAGUCGGGCAGCGCGGUUCUCUGUCUCACGCGUGGCUCGUACCCGACCGAGGAAGCUGUAGCAKUCGCAGCYCAUGCCUCUUUUGGCUAGGGUCCUGUCUCUCCGGCCGGUCGUCGACCGCGGUGUACUGCUUGCAGUGCUCCGCGACAGCUGCCGGUCGUUGGGCGUGUCUCCU
rnacentral:rRNA from 1 species